CGACCAAGUUAUUCGUCUGCCAGAAUUUUGACAUUUGACCAUCAAAAACUCUCUGUAUUGCAAAACAUAACUGCCAGAUGUCAUUUUGACCCAAAUAAGGGCUGUUUGCAAUUGGGCUGUUGCACUUGGGGUCAUAAGGGGGGUAAAUGCUGGAAAAUCACACCGAAACCUGUUCCGGAGACAUAUUCUAAGACUACUUAAACACCCGGCGGUGUCGAAAUGGGUCUAUAGCUCUGCCUGAACUGUCGUCCAAUUGGUUUACAAGUCCGGCUGAAGUGACAGGCCAUCGAAAACUGUACAGUGUGACUGAUUCGGAGACGGCCCUCAACACUCGCCCAGUCGUGUCGAGAGGAUCGGUGUCUUUGCAGAUUACACGGAAUUGAGCACCCGGGCCAGACUGACACUUUCCGGAGCCUGCCCUAGACGGAACUCGAGCCGAGGAAUCAUAGGUCCAGGCGGUGUCGAAAUGGGUCUAUAGCUCUGCCUGAACUGUCGUCCAAUUGGUUUACAAGUCCGGCUGAAGUGACAGGCCAUCGAAAACUGUACAGUGUGACUGAUUCGGAGACGGCCCUCAACACUCGCCCAGUCGUGUCGAGAGGAUCGGUGUCUUUGCAGAUUACACGGAAUUGAGCACCCGGGCCAGACUGACACUUUCCGGAGCCUGCCCUAGACGGAACUCGAGCCGAGGAAUCAUAGGUCCAGGCGGUGUCGAAAUGGGUCUAUAGCUCUGCCUGAACUGUCGUCCAAUUGGUUUACAAGUCCGGCUGAAGUGACAGGCCAUCGAAAACUGUACAGUGUGACUGAUUCGGAGACGGCCCUCAACACUCGCCCAGUCGUGUCGAGAGGAUCGGUGUCUUUGCAGAUUACACGGAAUUGAGCACCCGGGCCAGACUGACACUUUCCGGAGCCUGCCCUAGACGGAACUCGAGCCGAGGAAUCAUAGGUCCAGGCGGUGUCGAAAUGGGUCUAUAGCUCUGCCUGAACUGUCGUCCAAUUGGUUUACAAGUCCGGCUGAAGUGACAGGCCAUCGAAAACUGUACAGUGUGACUGAUUCGGAGACGGCCCUCAACACUCGCCCAGUCGUGUCGAGAGGAUCGGUGUCUUUGCAGAUUACACGGAAUUGAGCACCCGGGCCAGACUGACACUUUCCGGAGCCUGCCCUAGACGGAACUCGAGCCGAGGAAUCAUAGGUCCAGGCGGUGUCGAAAUGGGUCUAUAGCUCUGCCUGAACUGUCGUCCAAUUGGUUUACAAGUCCGGCUGAAGUGACAGGCCAUCGAAAACUGUACAGUGUGACUGAUUCGGAGACGGCCCUCAACACUCGCCCAGUCGUGUCGAGAGGAUCGGUGUCUUUGCAGAUUACACGGAAUUGAGCACCCGGGCCAGACUGACACUUUCCGGAGCCUGCCCUAGACGGAACUCGAGCCGAGGAAUCAUAGGUCCAGGUGUGACAAAAGACUUAAAGCUCAUGUCUGACGAUGACUUUUUUUAGUCAGGAAGCCAAGUGUGUUGUUUUUCCAUGCAAGCGAGCCCUUUUGUUGGGUCAAAUGACAUCAGCAUUGCUGCUUCUACAUGGAUUUUACCUAAAAUGUGCAAAAAAAAAUAUAAAAAGUUUGUUCGAAUCCAGUUCAAAACCUGCUUUGAUGCACAAAUAUUGCCAUUGAUGAUUUUUUUCACUUAUUAAGCCAUAUGUAAGAUAAGCUUUGCCUAUUAGAAUCGAAAGACAUGCCUUGUAUGGAGUCUAAGUGCUGCAUGUAUGAUGUAACCGAGUUUGGCUUUUCUACCUUAAUUCUUGACGCGAAACGCUGUUACGCAUGGCGCUUUCAACGGCAACUUUUAUGAAUUAAUCUGUGUGUCAUUGUACCGGAACUUUGUGAUCUUUCUCAAAACAGAUUAUACCUGUGGGAAAAGUG